UAUGCCUACGGGGCGCAGCAGUGGGGGAUAUUGCACAAUGGGGGAAACCCUGAUGCAGCGACGCCGCGUGAGCGAUGAAGUAUUUCGAUAUGUAAAUCUCUAUCAGCAGGGAAGAAAAUGACGGUACCUGACUAAGAAGCCCCGGCUAACUACGUGCCAGCAGCCGCGGUAAUACGUAGGGGGCAAGUGUUAUCCGGAUUUACUGGGUGUAAAGGGAGCGUAGGCGGCAGUGCAAGUCUGAAGUGAAAGGCAAGGGCUCAACCCUUGGACUGCUUUGGAAACUGUGCUGCUGGAGUGUCGGAGAG
rnacentral:rRNA from 1 species